ensembl:lncRNA
AGAUGGCAUAGCAGUUCAGACGUCUUUUGUCCUCGUCUUGUCGUGUCCCGUAUAUAUAUAUAUUUACACAUUUUUUCACAUACAUUUUUUACAUUUUCCAUCAACUCAUCUUCAAAACACUCUCCUACAACCCGCCUCACCAAUUUAUAUUUAUAAAAAAGUAUUAUUUACCUCAAAUCUGUAAUCCUCCAAGAAGCUAGCCAGAUACUCCAAGAAGCUAGCCAGAAGCUAGACAGGAGCUAGCCAGAAGCUAGCCCAGAAGCUAAUCCAGAAGCUAAUCAGAAGCUAGUUCAGAAGCUAGUUAGCUUCUUUACUGGCAAAUCAUUAGUAUUCAGCUAACCACGGUUUGUGGUCAUCAGCUAUCCUUUAGCUCGAAAAUCUAUCGCCAGUUUUGUACGGCGCAGCGCGGCUCGGAACGGAACAUACCGGACCAAUUUUUCUCUCCAUGUCCCUGGAUUUCAACCGAUCUCUGGACAUUCAUACCUGGUUCUCACAGCUAGCUAGCUGCUAUCCGUGUGACUAUCGGCUUUCAUCGAUACCGGAGCAAACAUCAAUUAUUCCGGAGCUAGCCAGCUCCGUCAAUCACUCCUGAGUUCCAUCAAUCACUCCUGGGCUGCAGUCACCUAUCCGGACCCGUUUUACUGCCUACGCGGAGCCCCACCGGGCCUUCACAACUGGACUGCCGACGUUAUCUACCCGAAGGAGUUAUCCGGCUGGCUCCUCCGUUGCGACGUUACCUGAACGCCCAUCUGCGGCCUGCUAACCGUUAGCUGUCUUAUCGGCUGCUAUCUGAAUAGACAAUCGGACAAUUUAUUUAUUUGUAUUAUUAUUGUGUUUUCUUCAUGGGCCUCUAUAACUAUAUCUAUUGUUUUUAUUUUUGUUGUUGUUGUGUGAUUUGGAUUAAUCCCCUCUGCCACACGGAACCCCACUAAUCUACUGUCGGAACGCAAGAGGUGGCUAAUAACAGACCUCCAUCCUAUGCUAGCUUGCUACCGAUGGCCUGGCUAGCUGUCUAAAUCGCUGUGACCCCCAACCAACCUCUCCACUCACCGGACCCUUUUGAUCACUCGACUAAGCAUGCCUCUCCUUAAUGUCAAUAUGCCUUGUCCAUUGCUGUUCUGGAAGAACAGAGGGUAGUGGCACUGUAGAAAAGGAGAGAGGGAGAGACCGAGAGAGAGGUGCUCUACACAUCAUCCACAGCUGACACAGACAGUUUCAUCCUCCAACCUUUGCUCAACGCUACACACAGACUGGACUAAGGGCUCCUACUCCCUCCAGAAGACUAUGGCCUCAACUGCUUUUUUUAAAGGCACAGGCCUCCUGCUCUUCUUACUACUGGGACUGCAGCCAUCGUCAUUUGUUUCAGGACAAAACACAACCUCGAGUUCCAAUACAACGACCGAUGCUACAACCACGGUGGCUGCAACAAUUGUGUUGUCAACUGACAUGAGUACUGUCUCUGCAACAGCUACGAUGACAGUUACCACAGCUCAAGCUACAAUGUCGUCUGCCAUUUCUUCUACGAAUGCUGCAAUGUCAUCUGCAGGGUUGGAUAUCCUGUCGCCAGUUCUCCUGUAACUACUCAGACUGCUACGAUGUGUACAUGAAUAGGACUUCUGUUUCAUGCAACGCUAAUAUCACCUUCUGUGAGCUGAAGAGACAGGAAGACAUGACUUACACCGGCGGCUGCAGUUCCUCCUGCAGGAAUGCCUGUGUCAAUAACACUCAGACCAACUGUACCACGGGAUGCUGCAACUCCACUGGCUGUCUUCGCUCCACCCUGGCCUCCAUGGUUCGCCCAAACACUACAACAGUGACUACAGUGAUGAUGACCACCACCACAACAACAGCAGCAGCCACCACUACAACUGCUAUGCCAACCAAUAAACUUAAGAAGUGCCAGAUGUUUCAGUGCACAGAGCAGAACUGUUACAAGACUUGGAUAACCAAAGACCCAAUGCCUUGUCCCCUCAACCAGCCCUACUGUGAGUUGAAAAAGAUGACAAUUGGUUCAACAACGAUGUGGAUGGGAGGCUGCAAUGCCGACUGCACAAGAAACACUUGGUGUACGACCACAACAGGUACAUGCCACCAAGAGUGCUGCAACACCUCCAUAACAUCCUGCCUCAAGCUGGAUGGGUCUCUGAACGUUCCUUCUUCUGCCACUAGAGGUCCUCACUUCCCUUUAGCAUUGAUCACUGCUGCUCUGCUGGUUUGUCUACUCAGCAUUGGUUCUCUGGUUUAAACUGGGUCGUGUUCAGUGGGUACAAGCGGAAGAAAAUGUAUUGAAAGAGGGAGGAAAUACCUUGACUUGUCCCUUGCAAAAUGGUUUAAAACAUUGCCUGUUGUGUGACUUAAUGAACAACCCUGAUGUGUUGACCCACUGAGCCAUUGCUUGAAUUUAAACAGUAGCAGUAGUAGUUAGCACGGCAAAACCUGGUUUCCAUUCCACAUGAAUACUAUACUGGUUGUAGGUCUAGCUUACUCUGUUUUUGUUUGUUUGCUUGUAUAUGAGGGGUAUUGAGAUACUGUAUGUGAGGGCUCAUAUGUGCUUUUGAGAGAUUUAGGUGAUUUAAUAAGUGAUAAUGAUUCCCCUAUGUGAGUCCAAACCAAAUGGGUUUAAAGGGAUUUAUUGAAGAAUAUGACGAUUAAUAUGGCUACAGAAAGCUAUUCAACCAUACCAUCAUACCCAUUUAUAAAUCAGUACUAUGUAAAACAUAAUACACAGAAGAUAGCUAUUUACGAUCAUAGAUGAGUGACCUAAUGUAUGGUACGGUAAUUAAUUCUGCUUUUUCUUAUUGAGAUUUCUGUAAGAUGAAGUUUCCAAUUAUGACAUUUUCAUAAAUAUCCUAUUUUUUUAGGCACAUUUUCUUUUGCCAGUGAUUUGCAUGAUGACUUCCAUGUUUUCUUAGAUUUUUCACUUGCAAAGACCUAGCCUGGUCUCAGAUCUGGUUGUGCUCUUGCUAACUCAAUUGCUCAUUGACAAACCAAAAAUGCCCAGUACAAGGAGUUGGCAUGAUAGCACAAACAGACUGGCACUCAGGCUAAAGACUUUCUCCAAUACAAAAGCAAACAUCUUUACAGAUAUUGCAUAAUAACUCAGUUAUUACCUAGUCCUCGCUAGCAUGUUGUGAAAGACAGAUUGACAAUUUAUGCACUUUUUAAAACAUAUAUAUUGGGUUAUAGAAGGUUUUUGAAAUAUUUGUACUGACGCAUUGAGGUGUAAUUCAUAUCUGUGAACGUAGUCAUAAACUGUACAACUGGAAUAUGUGUUUUACGCCUUUUAUUAUUUAGCUGUAUUCAUACUUAUAAUUUACCAUCAUAACAAUGUGGAAAUUGAUUCUUAAAAAUGGGUUAUAAAAUUGAGUUAUCAAAAUGUCUAAGCGUAUAUUUUUUGCAGUAGUUUCUUCGAAAGUUGGCAUACA